UUUGAUGAGGUGAUCUGAUGAACUGAUCACAGGGCUGAUGUUGGUUUGAUGAGGUGAUCUGAUGAACUGAUCACAGGGUUGAUGGUGAUCUGAUGAGGUGAUCUGAUGAACUGAUCACAGGGUUGAUGUUGGUUUGAUGAGGUGAUCUGAUGAACUGAUCACAGGGUUGAUGUUGGUUUGAUGAGGUGAUCUGAUGAACUGAUCACAGGGUUGAUGUUGGUUUGAUGAGGUGAUCUGAUGAACUGAUCACAGGGUUGAUGUUGGUUUGAUGAGGUGAUCUGAUGAACUGAUCACAGGGUUGAUGUUGGUUUGAUGAGGUGAUCUGAUGAACUGAUCACAGGGUUGAUGUUGGUUUGAUGAGGUGAUCUGAUGAACUGAUCACAGGGUUGAUGUUGGUUUGAUGAGGUGAUCUGAUGAACUGAUCACAGGGCUGAUGUUGGUUUGAUGAGGUGAUCUGAUGAACUGAUCACAGGAUUGAUGUUGGUUUGAUGAGGUGAUCUGAUGAACUGAUCACAGGGUCGAUGGUGGUUUGAUGAGGUGAUCUGAUGAACUGAUCUCAGGGUUGAUGGUGGUUUGAUGAGGUGAUCUGAUGAACUGAUCACAGGGUUGAUGUUGGUUUGAUGAGGUGAUCUGAUGAACUGAUCACAGGGUUGAUGUUGGUUUGAUGAGGUGAUCUGAUGAACUGAUCACAGGGUUGAUGUUGGUUUGAUGAGGUGAUCUGAUGAACUGAUCACAGGGUUGAUGUUGGUUUGAUGAGGUGAUCUGAUGAACUGAUCACAGGGUUGAUGUUGGUUUGAUGAGGUGAUCUGAUGAACUGAUCACAGGGUUGAUGUUGGUUUGAUGAGGUGAUCUGAUGAACUGAUCACAGGGUUGAUGUUGGUUUGAUGAGGUGAUCUGAUGAACUGAUCACAGGGUUGAUGUUGGUUUGAUGAGGUGAUCUGAUGAACUGAUCACAGGGUUGAUGUUGGUUUGAUGAGGUGAUCUGAUGAACUGAUCACAGGGUUGAUGUUGGUUUGAUGAGGUGAUCUGGUGAACUGAUCACAGGGUUGAUGUUGGUUUGAUGAGGUGAUCUGGUGAACUGAUCACAGGGUUGAUGUUGGUUUGAUGAGGUGAUCUGAUGAACUGAUCACAGGGUUGAUGUUGGUUUGAUGAGGUGAUCUGAUGAACUGAUCACAGGGUUGAUGUUGGUUUGAUGAGGUGAUCUGAUGAACUGAUCACAGGGCUGAUGUUGGUUUGAUGAGGUGAUCUGAUGAACUGAUCACAGGGUUGAUGUUGGUUUGAUGAGGUGAUCUGAUGAACUGAUCACAGGGCUGAUGUUGGUUUGAUGAGGUGAUCUGAUGAACUGAUCACAGGGUUGAUGGUGAUCUGAUGAGGUGAUCUGAUGAACUGAUCACAGGAUUGAUGUUGGUUUGAUGAGGUGAUCUGAUGAACUGAUCACAGGGUUGAUGUUGGUUUGAUGAGGUGAUCUGAUGAACUGAUCACAGGGCUGAUGUUGGUUUGAUGAGGUGAUCUGAUGAACUGAUCACAGGGUUGAUGUUGGUUUGAUGAGGUGAUCUGAUGAACUGAUCACAGGGUUGAUGUUGGUUUGAUGAGGUGAUCUGAUGAACUGAUCACAGGGCUGAUGUUGGUUUGAUGAGGUGAUCUGAUGAACUGAUCACAGGGUUGAUGGUGAUCUGAUGAGGUGAUCUGAUGAACUGAUCACAGGGUUGAUGUUGGUUUGAUGAGGUGAUCUGAUGAACUGAUCACAGGGUUGAUGUUGGUUUGAUGAGGUGAUCUGAUGAACUGAUCACAGGGUUGAUGUUGGUUUGAUGAGGUGAUCUGGUGAACUGAUCACAAGGUUGAUGUUGGUUUGAUGAGGUGAUCUGGUGAACUGAUCACAGGGUUGAUGUUGGUUUGAUGAGGUGAUCUGGUGAACUGAUCACAGGGUUGAUGUUGGUUUGAUGAGGUGAUCUGAUGAACUGAUCACAGGGUUGAUGUUGGUUUGAUGAGGUGAUCUGAUGAACUGAUCUCAGGGUUGAUGUUGGUUUGAUGAGGUGAUCUGAUGAACUGAUCUCAGGGUUGAUGUUGGUUUGAUGAGGUGAUCUGAUGAACUGAUCACAGGGUUGAUGUUGGUUUGAUGAGGUGAUCUGAUGAACUGAUCACAGGGUUGAUGUUGGUUUGAUGAGGUGAUCUGAUGAACUGAUCUCAGGGUUGAUGUUGGUUUGAUGAGGUGAUCUGAUGAACUGAUCACAGGGUUGAUGUUGGUUUGAUGAGGUGAUCUGAUGAACUGAUCACAGGGUUGAUGUUGGUUUGAUGAGGUGAUCUGGUGAACUGAUCACAGGGUUGAUGUUGGUUUGAUGAGGUGAUCUGGUGAACUGAUCACAGGGUUGAUGUUGGUUUGAUGAGGUGAUCUGAUGAACUGAUCACAGGGUUGAUGUUGGUUUGAUGAGGUGAUCUGAUGAACUGAUCACAGGGUUGAUGUUGGUUUGAUGAGGUGAUCUGAUGAACUGAUCACAGGGUUGAUGUUGGUUUGAUGAGGUGAUCUGAUGAACUGAUCUCAGGGUUGAUGUUGGUUUGAUGAGGUGAUCUGAUGAACUGAUCACAGGGUUGAUGUUGGUUUGAUGAGGUGAUCUGAUGAACUGAUCACAGGGUUGAUGUUGGUUUGAUGAGGUGAUCUGGUGAACUGAUCACAGGGUUGAUGUUGGUUUGAUGAGGUGAUCUGGUGAACUGAUCACAGGGUUGAUGUUGGUUUGAUGAGGUGAUCUGAUGAACUGAUCACAGGGUUGAUGUUGGUUUGAUGAGGUGAUCUGAUGAACUGAUCACAGGGUUGAUGUUGGUUUGAUGAGGUGAUCUGAUGAACUGACAGUCUGUCUGUUUCCUCUUCCUCCCUCAGACGGAGUCCACAAAGGAUCCCAGAGGUCGACGCAUCUGACCUCAAAAACCCCACAUCUUUCUUCUCCCGGGGUUGCAAAAUUCCCAAGACUUUCCCAGUUUUUUUUCCCAGAAAUCCCUGUUUUGGAGGAUUCCACGUCCUUAUUUGUUCCCUCCUGAUUCCACAGAAUCUUUCAACUGUGGAUUUCUGAGAAACGGACUUUUGGGAAAGUUAGUGGGAGGCCUUUUUUUGCAGGCCUUCUCUCCUCUUCACCAAAAUACACGAUGACCGACUCUUCCUCUUGUGUCCACUUUGUGUCUCUAUAUCAAGAAGUGUGAAACAUUCAGGAAAAGGGCUUGUCGCUCGAAAAGAGGCUGACGACGAGGACUCUUAGAGAACAGACUUUGUGAAGCGGCAUUAGCCGCUGAACACGAUUUGAAGAUUUGUAAAAUAGUUUAUUAUUAGACAAAUAAAAACACUGCUCCUGUA